rfam:Hordeum vulgare subsp. vulgare, WGS project CAJW01000000 data, contig: morex_contig_1576180
AAUAUACUCCCUCCAUCCCAAAAUUCUUGUCUUAGAUUUGUUUAUAUACAAAUGUAUCUAGUCAAGUUUUAGUAUUUAGAUACAUCUAUUUAUAGACAAAGUUAAGACAAUUCUUUUGGAACGGAUGGAGUAUAUA